rnacentral:lncRNA from 1 species
CUUGCUUACAUUAUACAGAUGAAUUGUGAAAAUUUCACCUAACUGAAAAGUUCAAUGAUAUGGCUAUCCUUGCCACUUGUCUUUCUCCUCUUCAGUUAAAAACACUAUUUUUUUUAAUUAUUAAAAAUUUAAGAAGGACUGUAUUUGAAGGAGAAAGACAAAAUCCUAUUUUUGUGAUAGAGAUGAAUUAGGUUUUGAUACACAUGUAUGUGUCCCCUUUGGUUUCUCCCUUUUCCUAUAAAGGCACCAGUCUUCAACCGUAGGUGCUCCACCCCAUGGCCUUAGCUAAUCCUACUUGCUUCUCUAAAGUCCCACCUCUAAACACUGGCUUCAGACUAAAUUGCUGCCCUCUUAAUGCUUCACACUAGUUAUUAAAUGCCAACAUGAGCUCCAGGGGACAAAUCACAUUCAAACCCCAGUACCUAACAUUUGAAAAUGUUGUUAAGUAAUUGCAAUCUCUUGCAAACUUGAUUGGUGAGGAUGGAACUGAAUUAUUUAAAUUCAGUUUUAAUAGUGCUACAACAAUCAGGUAUAGAAGAAACCAAAAUAAUCUUUUAAAUGAUUUCAAAUUUCAAGACCACAGGUCAUAAAUGCUAUUGAAGUUCCCCGUUCUUCCCACCACAACCCGCCCUAUUCCCUGGGUCCAGACAUCUUAGCCAUCCAGCUUCACCUGCCUAAUCCUUACUUGCCCUUCUGGGCCCUGCUUUUCUCUCCCCAAACUGGUUAGGCCUCAUGUUUAACACUGUUAGCACUCUACACUCUGGCCCAGGUUUGUCUGGAUUAUAACAGUGCAGUUAUCUUUAAUUUGGAGACUCUGCCCCUUACUUGACUGUUAAGUUUUAUCAGGGCAGAAACCAAAUGUCUUUUUCCCUCUAUAUCUUUAGUGUCAGGAAUCACAUUAGACACACAGACAUCCUCAGUGAAUACUUAUUGACUGAUGGAUGAAUGGAUUCUUUAUUUAGUAUGAUAGCUAAGAGAUAGUGGAAUCAACUGGCUACUUCCAUAGGGUUUCGGAUCACAUUAGUUGCCAUUAAGUCACCAUGAGUAAAAGAUUUGUAUAGGUUGCAAACCUAGCAAGUUGAUUUUAUCAUUUUAAGUAUCAAAGUUAUUGGUACUAUUAAACUCCCAAGAAACUAAUUUGUAUGCCAGAAUACAAAUACAAAAACCUUUGAACUUAUAAUAGGAAAUGUACCUAAGAUCUAGAUUUAUGGUCUUUACCAUGUCUUAGUGUGGUUGAGACAGUAAUCACUGAAUAACCUUGUACCUCUUUACAUUUCCUGGCCUAACUUGCACUAGACUAGUACAGGCUAAUAAACUAUGAGCAAAAGCAGCUCGUGUCAUUUUGCAGUUGGGGUAGGCGACAGCCAGUGUGCUUUCUUUAUUUCUCCUUCACCAUGACAGCUUAGUAGUCCAUGUGUUCUAGUUGGCAAAUCUAUAAGAUGGAGGAUGGUUGCCUGACUAGUACUGGACUUACAUGAGUAAGUCAUAAAACUUUGUUGUGUUGGGCUUGAGAUUUCAGAGGCUUUUUUUGUUACUGUAGCUUAACCUAGUACUAUCCUGAUUAAUAAAAUGAGGAACUUUCUCUUGAUUUAUAGGUUUCCAUUCAGAGACAGAUUACAUAUAUAUAUAGGUUGUUUCUUGGGAAAACUCUGUUUUGGAGUUUUUUAUUUGUUUCCCUGUACUUGGUCUACCUAAAAUAAUAACUGUGCUUUUUAUAAAAAUUAUGAGAAAAAGAACUAACAUAAAAACUUAAAACACUUAAGCAACUGAUGCUUACUAACUGGAAUUUUAGAUCAGAUGUGUUCAGGGUGACAUAGCUAUAAACAUGAAAUUUUAUAGUACUUUAAAAAUACUGUUUGUAAUUCUUAUUGAACCAAAGGUUUACAAUAGUUUCUUCUGCCCUAAUAGUUUUGGUAUCUUCUUGGUAAAUAAGGAAAUAUUUAGGGUAAAAUGAACAACUUCUAUAAAUCAAGAUCUUAGCAAUCUUUUUUUCCCCACAGUUUAUGUAUUCCGAAAUGAUCUUUUAGCAGAAGUUUAUACAGUAAAAUGGAUUUCUU